rnacentral:rRNA from 1 species
CCUACGGGGGGCAGCAGUGGGGGAUAUUGCACAAUGGGGGGAACCCUGAUGCAGCGACGCCGCGUGGGUGAAGGAGUAUUUCGGUAUGUAAAGCCCUAUCGGCAGGGAAGAAUUUAGACGGUACCUGACUAAGAAGCCCCGGCUAACUACGUGCCAGCAGCCGCGGUAAUACGUAGGGGGCAAGCGUUAUCCGGAUUGACUGGGUGUAAAGGGAGCGUAGACGGCAGUGCAAGUCUGGAGUGAAAGGCGGGGGCUCAACGCCCGGACUGCUCUGGAAACUGUACGGCUGGAGUGCAGGAGAGGUAAGUGGAAUUCCUAGUGUAGCGGUGAAAUGCGUAGAUAUUAGGAGGAACACCAGUGGCGAAGGCGGCUUACUGGACUGUAACUGACGUUGAGGCUCGAAAGCGUGGGGAGCAAACAGGAUUAGAUACCCGGGUAGUC